CAGUGCAGUCACUCAUAAAGUAGACAGCACUACUAAAGGUCUCUACACAGUGUAGUGUUUCCUACUUUAUGGAUGA
ensembl:miRNA MIR142 microRNA 142